rnacentral:rRNA from 1 species
UACGUAGGGUGCGAGCGUUGUCCGGAAUUAUUGGGCGUAAAGGGCUCGUAGGCGGUCUGUCGCGUCGGUAGUGAAAACUCAGGGCUUAACCCUGAGCCUGCUUCCGAUACGGGCAGACUAGAGGUAUGCAGGGGAGAAUGGAAUUCCUGGUGUAGCGGUGAAAUGCGCAGAUAUCAGGAGGAACACCGGUGACGAAGGCGGUUCUCUGGGCAUUACCUGACGCUGAGGAGCGAAAGUGUGGGGAGCGAACAGG